GGAAGUAAAAGUGUAACAAGGUCUCCGUAGGUGAACCUGCGGAGGGAUCAUUACAGAGUUCAUGCCCUAACGGGUAGAUCUCCCACCCUAUGUUAUCAUCACUUUGUUGCUUUGGCGGGCCGUCAGGCCUCGGCUUGGCUACCGGCUCUCGCUGGUAAGCGCCCGCCAGAGAACCCCAAACCCUGAAUAUCAGUGUCGUCUGAGUACUAUAUAAUAGUUAAAACUUUCAACAACGGAUCUCUUGGUUCUG
rnacentral:misc_RNA from 1 species